rnacentral:lncRNA from 1 species
UCAGAAUUACCUUAACUUUUAGUUUAAAAAAUAUAUAAAAUUUUGUUUCCUGCACUUUUUCAUCAACCAAACAAAAAUACACAUCUACAAAAAGUCAAAUCUAAGGGAAUCAAUAAUGCAAUCAAAUUUGAACGAAAUAUAAAACAUCCACUAUCUCUUAACAAAAGACUCAUCUGAAAGCAAACAAUUAUCACAUGAAUAUCAACUACUCCAAUGAAAAAACAAAAGAAAAAAAAUGGAUCUCUUGACAACCAUUCGUUUGAUUAUCAUCUUCUCCUCCCCCCUUCUCUGUAUCUAGACCCUAAUUUUCACAUCGAAACAAAGUCCCCA